GUCGUACGGGUGCGUAACGCGUAUGCAACCUACCUAUCACUGGGGGAUAGCCCGGGGAAACCCGGAUUAAUACCGCAUAAAACAGGGGCACCGCAUGGUGAUAUUUGUUAAAGAUUUAUUGGUGAUAGAUGGGCAUGCGUUCGAUUAGCUAGUUGGCGGGGUAACGGCCCACCAAGGCGACGAUCGAUAGGGGAGCUGAGAGGUUGAUCCCCCACACGGGCACUGAGAUACGGGCCCGACUCCUACGGGAGGCAGCAGUAGGGAAUAUUGGGCAAUGGAUGCAAGUCUGACCCAGCCAUGCCGCGUGCCGGAUGAAGGCCCUCAGGGUUGUAAACGGCUUUUAUUCGGGAAGAAGAGCAGGGAUGCGUCCUUGUGUGACGGUACCGAAUGAAUAAGCACCGGCUAACUCCGUGCCAGCAACCGCGGUAAUACGGAGGGUGCGAGCGUUGUCCGGAUUUAUUGGGUUUAAAGGGUGCGUACGUGGCCUUAUAAGUCAGUGGUGAAAUACGGUUGCUCAACAAUCGAGGUGCCAUUGAUACUGUGAGGCUUGAAAUAAUUGGAGGCUGUCGGAAUGGAUGGUGUAGC
rnacentral:rRNA from 1 species